rnacentral:lncRNA from 1 species
GACAGAGACACAGGCAAUGAAAUCAACAUUCUCAAAUCAACUUUGUUGCAUUACAAUCAAUUCAUUACAUUUCAAAUAUGGAAAGAUUAAACAACCUAACUAGUAGUAAUCAACUUUCCAUCUCCCAAAUUAAGUACAAAUUUCUCCGAUUUAAGCAACUUUUUGCACAGAGAUGGUUCCAAAGAAAUUCCAAAGUAGAAAAAUUAAGGAAACCCAUAUGAUUAUCUUGUAAAUCCUAUGUUUGCGUCUAACAUUUUGCACUUCAUUUUCAAAAGUCCUCAACUUCCUCAACAAACCAGGAAUCACUUGAAUAGCUCUCAGCUGCAUCGGAGGAUCAUACCACAUGAAAUACCCGUAACCAUGAGGCUGUUAAAAAAGAAUUUUUUGAGAACAAACUUCAUAUUAAAGGAAAUUGAAUAUAAAUUACUUAUUCUUGCAGUUUGACAUCCAUAGAAUCGACGACCAGGAUUCAAAUCAGUCCAAGAAGUUAUCAACAUAGCCGGACGAUGACAAUGACAGUGGUUAACUGCAGCCAUUUAAGUUGACUCUGUAUGUUCUGUGAUAGUUAUCAAUUAAAAAUGUAUCCAACUGUUAUGAUUUGGAUCUGAAGACAGUUGAAAAGACAAGUGAUCAUUUAAAUUAGCUUUACAUCGAAGCCAACUAAAUAACUAUUUUGCAUCAUCUACAAGUGAACUGACUUGGUAAGCUGAAGAGCAGAGCCUAUGUUUUUGUUGUUUGUUAAUCCUUCAUUAAAACUUCAUGAACAUGCUUGGAAAUUAACAUCUUGAAGAUAUGCAGAACUGAAGGUUAAACAUUUGUAAUCUCAAUAAAAACCAAGAAAUAUAGAAAUUAAUAUCAAAACAUAAGAUUUAUGUAUGUCGAAAUAAAUUAAAGACGGUGUUGCAAUUCGACUGAUUUUUGGGUGAAUGAGGUAUGAGUGAUUAUAAAAUAUAGCUUAGUAAUGAAACGCCUAUCAAGUAAAGGAUUAUUCUCAUCGCAGAAACAUACUCGGGAAUAUCUAAAAAAUGGCUACAAAAUGAGUACCCUAAAAAUAAAGCUGAUAAGAUGUAAAUUACUUACCGAUUCGAACUGGUUAGAUGAAGGAAAUCGAUUUUCUAGGGCUUUCUCUCUUGGAGCAAUAUCGCGCGUUUCUAGGGCUUCGUUCUCUCAGUUGAAGGGCUUCGCGAUGGACUAUAGUUUCGAUUUUGCAGGAGAAGGAAAGGAACUCAGCUCGUGAUGGAGAAGGAAAGGAACUCAGCAAUCGAUUGAGAAGGAGAAGGAAGUCGUUCGAUUUUGCAGUGAGGGAUUUUCAAGCUCUCGCUAAGUGUUUGUCGUUCGAUUUCUUGUGACUGAGUGGAUGCUCUAGGGCUUCGAUUUUGCAGGAGUGGAUUUUCAAGGAAUUCGAUUUUGGAAGUGAGGGAUUUUCAGUCGAGAUAUCGAUUUUGGAAGGAGCUGAGUCUUGUAAAAAGACUGAGUGAGUCGAUUUUAUGAAGGAAAUAGACUUGAGUGAGGAGAGAGAUC